AUUGAACGCUGGUGGAAUGCUUUACACAUGCAAGUCGAACGGUAGAGGGGGCAACCCCUUGAGAGUGGCGAACGGGUGAGUAAUAUAUCGGAACGUGCCCAGUCGUGGGGAUAACGUAGCGAAAGUUACGCUAAUACCGCAUACGAUCUAAGGAUGAAAGCGGGGGAUCGCAAGACCUCGCGCGAUUGGAGCGGCCGAUAUCAGAUUAGGUAGUUGGUGAGGUAAAGGCUCACCAAGCCAACGAUCUGUAGCUGGUCUGAGAGGACGACCAGCCACACUGGGACUGAGACACGGCCCAGACUCCUACGGGAGCAGCAGGUGGGGAAUUUUGGACAAUGGGCGCAAGCCUGAUCCAGCAAUGCCGCGUGCAGGAUGAAGGCCUUCGGUU
rnacentral:rRNA from 1 species